GUAAGCCUACGGGGGGCAGCAGUAGGGAAUCUUCCACAAUGGGCGAAAGCCUGAUGGAGCAACGCCGCGUGGGUGAAGAAGGUUUUCGGAUCGUAAAUCCCUGUUGUUAGAGAAGAAAGUGCGUGAGAGCAACUGUUCACGUUUCGACGGUAUCUAACCAGAAAGCCACGGCUAACUACGUGCCAGCAGCCGCGGUAAUACGUAGGUGGCAAGCGUUAUCCGGAUUUAUUGGGCGUAAAGGGAACGCAGGCGGUCUUUUAAGUCUGAUGUGAAAGGCUUCGGCUUAAACGGAGUAGUGCAUUGGA
rnacentral:rRNA from 1 species